rnacentral:rRNA from 1 species
GAAACAGUUGCUAAGACUGGAUAGGAAAAGUAAAGGCAUCUUUACUCCUUUAAAAGACCUUCUUUGAAGGUAUACUUAAGGAGGGGCUUGCGACACAUUAGUUAGUUGGCAGGGUAAAGGCCUACCAAGACUAUGAUGUGUAGCUGGACUGAGAGGUUGAACAGCCACAUUGGGACUGAGACACGGCCCAAACUCCUACGGGAGGCAGCAGUAGGGAAUUUUCGGCAAUGGAGGAAACUCUGACCGAGCAACGCCGCGUGAACGAUGAAGUACCUCGGUAUGUAAAGUUCUUUUAUUAAGGAAGAAAAAAGAGUGGAAAAACUCCCUUGACGGUACUUAAUGAAUAAGCCCCGGCUAAUUAUGUGCCAGCAGCCGCGGUAAUACAUAAAGGGCGAGCGUUAUCCGGAAUUAUUGGGCGUAAAGGGUGCGUAGGCGGUUUAAUAAGUUUAUAGUUUAAUUUCAGCGCUUAACGCUGUUGUGCUAUAGAAACUGUUUUACUAGAGUGAGUUAGAGGCAAGCGGAAUUCCAUGUGUAGCGGUAAAAUGCGUAAAUAUAUGGAGGAACACCAGAGGCGUAGGCGGCUUGCUGGGACUUUACUGACGCUGAGGCACGAAAGCGUGGGGAGCAAACAGGAUUAGAUACCCUGGUAGUCCACGCCGUAAACGAUGAGUACUAAGUGUCGGGUAAAACCGGUACUGAAGUUAACACAUUAAGUACUCCGCCUGAGUAGUACGUACGCAAGUAUGAAACUUAAAGGAAUUGACGGGACUCCGCACAAGCGGUGGAUCAUGUUGUUUAAUUCGAAGAUACACGAAAAACCUUACCAGGUCUUGACAUUUUCUUGCGAAGUUAUAGAAAUAUAAUGGAGGUUAUCAGGAAAACAGGUGGUGCAUGGUUGUCGUCAGCUCGUGUCGUGAGAUGUUAGGUUAAGUCCUAAAACGAGCGCAACCCUUGUCGUUAAUUGCCAGCAUAUAAUGAUGGGGACUUUAACGAGACUGCCAAUGAAAAAUUGGAGGAAGGUGGGGAUUACGUCAAAUCAUCAUGCCCCUUAUGAUCUGGGCUACAAACGUGAUACAAUGGUUGAUACAAAGAGUAGCUGAAACGCGAGUUCUUAGCCAAUCUCACAAAAUCAAUCUCAGUUCGGAUUGAAGUCUGCAACUCGACUUCAUGAAGUUGGAAUCGCUAGUAAUCGCGAAUCAGCAUGUCGCGGUGAAUACGUUCUCGGGGUUUGUACACACCGCCCG